AAGUAUCGGAACGGGAGAACCGGCGUUGCCGGUGCCGAAGGAGCAACCGCCCCGGAAACUCUCAGGCGCAAGGACCGACCGAUGGAC
rnacentral:ncRNA from 1 species